UGGAAGAAACUUAGCUCCAAGUGAUUCCCUGAGUAUUCCACAAGUACAAAAAAGUAGGCUGGUAGCAACUCUCCUGCGAAUUUCAGCCAUGUGGAGAAGAAACCAUAACCUCCCACAACUACCACGUUCCAUCUCCGUGGGAGCAAGCUCAAAAGCCCUUCCUGCUCCCGAUUCUGUGAGUUACCAAGGAAACUGCAGGCCAUGUAAAUAUACUUGGUAUUUGAGAGGUAUUCCCUGAGGACCUACUCUUCCAUUUGUGUUUAACGAGGUCUUUUUACUGACACACACUAAGUAACAUAGAAAACUCUAAUCAAUGGUUCCCUGAAUUCAUAGAUGGCCCUUGUAGUCCAGGAACGUACAAUGUCAACGUCAACAACAUGGGAAAAUUGCGUACAAACAGCGCUCCCACCUAGCAGGUAACCUGGUGUUUGGAAAUGCCUGAGAGUGUCCAGGGAUCAGAUACUGCAAUUUUCACCAGCUGAAGGUUUGCGGCAACCCUGCAUCCAACAAAACUGCUAAAAAGAAGCAAGACUGAAAAAGUUUAUCUUUUCAUUUCGCCUUCACUGAAGGGAUCGUGGCUGUUGCCAAAUAUCAGACAACAGAGAGAAAGAAAAAGCCAAAGGAAUAAAAAUAUCUAACAAAUGGACAAUGGCCUCUGAGUGAUGGAAAAUUCACAUUAUGUGGCACUUGGUGUCGCACAGGUCUUAGGCUAAACAACAAAUUACUGAACCAUAAGAAGCUAUUUCUCUGUGUUCUUCCCAGGCCCUACAAACAGUAGACAAAUGAGUCCCCACAUUCAAGAAUGCAUCGGUCUUAGUUCAUCCACCAAAUAUUGGGAAGGAAUGUUGCCCUUCCCAAAGUGAAGAAUCUCAACAUGUAAACAAAAGUGAAAUGUCAUUCUGAUGUCACUACAAGGAUCCAUAUAGACUUUGAUUCCUUUGACAAACCCACAUAGUACAGGACCCCUUCCACACUUCCAUGCCAUGGAGGCAAGAGUGCUGUUCCCACUCCCUAACCUCCCUGUAAAUACAGCUCUCCAGAGCAAGCCAAAGUCCUUCCACCCAGAAUUCUCUCUCUUUCUCUCCCCACCCCAGUCUCUCUCUCUCUCUCACACACACACACAUACGUCCAUGUCAUUUGUGGGUUCUAUUAUGAGUCUCACGUAAAAAUUUGAUAUUUGUUUUAACACCACAGCCUGCAUCCCCAGAAUUGCUCUACUCUGUACUUGUUCAAUCAAUUCUAAUUUUUCCAGAUCAUUUAAAUCCUUUCUAUUGUCUUACUCUUGCUGAAUAACAAUCACUCUGUCUGUACUGUCAUCGUUUAGUGCCUGAAUAUAAAAGCCCUUUUCUGACAAAAAUUUUCCAUCUCUUCUGUCUUCGCAUCGUGGCACGGCAUGGCACGCUCCAGCGCCCUGACUGCCAUGGGAUCCCCAAUCACACUUAAACAUGUCUACCUAAAAGUGACAUGGACAAUAAUAUUUUCUAAUGAAAUCAGAUUCCCUACACUGAUUUCUUUGUUUUCGUUCCCCAGCAAUGAAAUAUCACCGUGUGGUUACGCAAGUGGAACUGUACCUUGAGUAUUUCUAUGCAAAUUAGAACAAGUACUUGCUGAUGUGCACACAGGCACAGAAACACACACAGAGACUUGUAAUGAGGUAAGUGUGUAGUAGGAGUGGAUCGGAGGGACUUAGAUGACUGCAGAGAGGAAAUAUUGACUCCAGAUGACUAAGUCAACAUAAAGUGUGAGGAACUCACCUCAGAACCCAGUCAAACUUCAU